UUUCCAUGAAGAUCUGCACCGGAUCGGCGCUAAGGAGGGCCUGAAAGGUAGAAAACUGCAGAAGGCUAUGGAGAGCUACGCCUGGAACAUCACUGUUCUCAAGGGCCAGGCAGACUUGCUGAAGCACGCCAAAUCCGAGGCGAUGGACACGCUGAGGCAGAUCCACUACGCUGCUCACUCUUGCGGCCUGGCCAAGAAUGGAGCCUCUACAUCGCCGGCCUCGCCUUUGCUGCCUCCUUACCCACGGCUCCUCGGAGCCUUACACACCAUCCCUGAGACAGACUACCACAGCACAGACACAAAUACCCUACACUGAUAUAUAGAUAUAUAUAUACAGUACACACCGAGCGAGAGACAGAGAGAACGAGAAGAGGGAGGGAGCGAGACAGGACAGGUGACCUUGGAAAGGUGGGAACAAAGCAAUGACUUCAAGGACACAGAGAUAGAGGGAGUAAAAAGCGAUAGAAGCGUUAGAAGAAAGGCAGGUCUGUACAGAUUGGUCCACAGUUCUGUCCCUUCAGCUAGUUGCUAGACGAGUGGAAAGCCAAGGACUCCACUAGCUCUGAGGAAUCUGUAAUGAGAAGAUGG
ensembl:lncRNA